UCGAUUGUAGAAUGGCGGGUGAGAUGAUGAGAAGUUAUUUUCGUCUCAUCAAACUUCAAAGAAAAAUGGAAUUAAAAUGAGCAAUUGAUUUGUGUAAUUUUGUAACAAAAGUGAGAUGGACGUACAAUUAAUUCCAGAACGUGGUCGAUGCUGUUGCGAUCGUUGCCGAAAUACGUCUCGUACACCACAUGUUUAGGAAGACUCCAUGACAUGCUCCAUGAAGAAGACGUACAGCGUUUAUAGACAGUUCGAGUGAAGGGGAAAUUCACAUGGUCGUUCAGUUUCGUGUUCAUUAUCAUUCGAUAUUUUCCUGGGUUCUUAAACAGUGUCUCAUCUCUCAUUCUUCAAUUCUGUCCUCAGUACGUGGCUGAUGGACAUUGAAGUAAACCUUAUCUAUGCCGCAAGCCUCCACAGUAAAGGUAGUGCCAAUUGAUGCCCUAGUAGGGUGUUAAUGUAAAUUUGAAAAUUAUAUUCAAUUUCCUUCUUUAGUUGGUUGGUGUAUGAGCAUAAGUCAGCAUUUUUUUCUUGCAUAUUAAGAAAGCUACAACGGCGUUUCAUUCUUGCCUUAGCAAGUAAGCACGUGGUCGAUGCUUUACAGCCACACGGAAAUAUUCCUUGUUUACUUUUUUUUUAAGGAAGAACCUCUAUUGAAGGUUGUUCCAUUGUUGGCUGUUGUUUGAGAUGUCAUUGCAGUUGCAGUUCUAACCACCAGCCUACUUGUGCUUACCUGUAUUAAAAGCUGUUUAACCAAGACACUAUUUCUUCGUUAUGUUCUUCCAUUUCACAUUUCUGUCAUUAAUAGUUACCAAAUAUAAAAGUUUUCUAUGCUAUGAUAAUAACUCCAUAGUUGCAUUC